AAUAAAUUUUAUACCAACGUUAAUGCACCGGAUCCCAUCAAAACUCCGCAGAUAAGCGCGCUUGGGCUAGAGUAGUACUGGGAUGGGAGACCUCCCGAGAAGUCCUAAUGUAUUAGUAA
rnacentral:rRNA from 1 species